UACAGAGGGGGCAAGCGUUAUUCGGAAUUAUUGGGCGUAAAGGGCGCGUAGGCGGCCUUGCAAGUGGCGGGGGGAAAUCCCUCGGCUUAACCGAGGAACUGCCUGCCAGACUGCAAGGCUCGAGACCGGGAGAGGUGAGUGGAAUUCCCAGUGUAGCGGUGAAAUGCGUAGAUAUUGGGAGGAACACCAGUGGCGAAGGCGGCUCACUGGACCGGAACUGACGCUGAGGCGCGAAAGCGUGGGGAGCAAACAGG
rnacentral:rRNA from 1 species